CAAAUUUUAAGCGAAAUGAAAUCGGAAUCUGGCCUUUCUCACCUUCUGUACAAAACUUGCCAGGAGUGCCCCCAAUCAAUCAUUAUUCCGUUUUCCCUUCUCCACACUCUUCUUCAGCUAUCUUCUGGUGGUUAUUGAUUUGUAAACAGUGGGUUACUUGGACCACGAUCAAACCCAGUUAGUACUUUCCCUCUCUCUCACUUUUCUGUUGGGUUAAUCAGUCUUCGGUUCCGCCAUUGCCGGGAUGGAGAUAGAUUAUAGGAACAAGCUUGUCCUUGCACCUAUGGUUCGAGUUGGCACACUGCCUUUCAGGCUGCUUGCUGCUGAAUAUGGUGCUGAUAUCACAUAUGGGGAGGAGAUUAUUGAUCACAAACUCCUCAAGUGCGAGCGCCGAAUCAAUGAUGUACUUGGAACUAUCGAUGUGGUGGAGAAAGGAACAGACAGUGUUGUUUUCAGAACAUGCUCUGAAGAAAAAAAUCGAGUUGUUUUCCAGAUGGGAACUUCAGAUGCAGUAAGAGCUCUCCGUGCUGCCCAAAAUGUGUGCAUGGAUGUUGCUGCUGUGGAUAUAAAUAUGGGUUGCCCCAAGUCUUUCUCUAUUAGUGGUGGAAUGGGUGCUGCGCUGUUGACAAAACCCGAUCUCAUUCAUGAUAUUUUGACAACAUUGAAAAGAAACCUUAAUACACCUGUGACAUGCAAGAUCCGUCUAUUAAAAUCAACUCAAGACACUGUGGAAUUAGCACGAAGAAUUGAGAAAACUGGUGUAUCUGCUCUAGCUGUCCAUGGAAGGAAAGUUGCUGAUAGGCCAAGAGAUCCAGCUAAGUGGAGUGAGAUUGCUGAUGUUGUAGCUGCAGUUUCCAUCCCAGUUAUUGCCAAUGGCGAUGUAUUUGAGUAUGAAGAUUUUGAACGCAUCAAAGUCGCUACAGGUGCUUCAUCUGUGAUGGUUGCCAGAGGUGCCCUUUGGAAUGCCUCUAUAUUCUCUCCAAAAGGAAAAUUACCCUGGGAAGACGUGAAAAGAGAGUAUGUUAGUAAGAGUAUCUUAUGGGAUAAUGAUAUCAAGAGCACUAAACACACGUUGAAGGAAAUGAUAAUGCACUAUUCUUGUCUUGAACUCCCAGAGGGGAAGGCUGUAAUAAAGUCGGACACCCUGGCAGAUCUGGCGCAUUUUCAAACAAUAGGAAAAGUUUAGAACUUGAAAAGACGACAUUAUGGAGAAGAUAAUUACUACGAGCUCAUCAAUAAAAGUCGGUCAUCCUUUCGAGGUAGUAGAUGACAUCAUUUUAAUAUUCUCCCCGAGUGGCAGGUUGUUCUGACCCAUGGUGCAAAUAUUUCAAUUGGCUUAAACUCAUGAUGACAGUUCCCAUGCAAUUUGAUCCAGAAACUGCUGAGAGCUGUGAUGUUGUAUUAGUCCAUCUUAGUUGAUUUUUUCAUAGUUACAUUACUAUAGCCACAUUUCUGUUAAACUUAUGAUGCUGCAAAUUGGUAAGUUUUAUGGCCAAUUUGCAGUUGGAGGCAGUCAAUGUGCACCAGAAUAUGCAUGAUCAAUUCCUAGUAGUACCUUCUUUCGUCCAACUUGGAUUUUGUGAUUCUUUUGGAUGGAACAAUGAACAGUGUGUUGUACUAUAUGUAUAUUAUCAGUUAAGUUUUCAAGUGUA